GUGGGGAAUCUUCCGCAAUGGGCGAAAGCCUGACGGAGCAACGCCGCGUGAGUGAAGAAGGCCUUCGGGUCGUAAAGCUCUGUCUUCAGGGACGAAAAGGGAUGGGAGUAAUAUGCCUAUCCUGUGACGGUACCUGAGGAGGAAGCUCCGGCUAACUACGUGCCAGCAGCCGCGGUAAUACGUAGGGAGCGAGCGUUGUCCGGAAUUACUGGGCGUAAAGGGCGCGUAGGCGGGAAUUUAAGUAAGGUGUGAAAACUCCGGGCUCAACCUGGAGACUGCACUUUAAACUGGAUUUCUUGAGGGCAGGAGAGGAAAGUGGAAUUCCUAGUGUAGCGGUGAAAUGCGUAGAUAUUAGGAGGAACACCAGUGUCGAAGGCGACUUUCUGGACUGUACCUGACGCUGAGGCGCGAAAGCGUGGGGAGCGAACAGGAUUAGAUACCCGAGUAGUCC
rnacentral:rRNA from 1 species